ensembl:rRNA 5S_rRNA 5S ribosomal RNA
GUCUAUGGCCAUAUCACCCUGAAUGCACCCGAUCUCGUCUGAUCUCAGUAGCUAAGCAGGGUCAGACCUGAUUACUACUUGGAUGGGAGAUAGUCC